CAUAUAUAUAAGUUAUCGUUUAUUUGAUAGUACCUUACUACUUGGAUAACCGUGGUAAUUCUAGAGCUAAUACAUGCUAAAAAUCCCGACUUCGGAAGGGAUGUAUUUAUUAGAUUAAAAACCAAUGCCCUUCGGGGCUCACUGGUGAUUCAUGAUAACUCCUCGAAUCGCAUGGCCUUGUGCCGGCGAUGGUUCAUUCAAAUUUCUUCCCUAUCAACUUUCGAUGUUUGGGUAUUGGCCAAACAUGGUUGCAACGGGUAACGGAGGGUUAGGGCUCGACCCCGGAGAAGGAGCCUGAGAAACGGCUACUACAUCCAAGGAAGGCAGCAGGCGCGCAAAUUACCCAAUCCCGACACGGGGAGGUAGUGACAAUAAAUACUGAUACAGGGCUCUUUUGGGUCUUGUAAUUGGAAUGAGUACAAUUUAAAUCCCUUAACGAGGAACAAUUGGAGGGCAAGUCUGGUGCCAGCAGCCGCGGUAAUUCCAGCUCCAAUAGCGUAUAUUAAAGUUGUUGUGGUUAAAAAGCUCGUAGUUGAACCUUGGGCCUGGCUGGCCGGUCCGCCUCACCGCGUGUACUGGUCCGGCCGGGCCUUUCCCUCUGUGGAACCCCAUGCCCUUCACUGGGUGUGGCGGGGAAACAGGACUUUUACUGUGAAAAAAUUAGAGUGCUCCAGGCAGGCCUAUGCUCGAAUACAUUAGCAUGGGAAUAAUAGAAUAGGACGUGUGGUUCUAUUUUGUUGGUUUCUAGGACCGCCGUAAUGAUUAAUAGGGACAGUCGGGGGCAUCAGUAUUCAAUUGUCAGAGGUGAAAUUCUUGGAUUUAUUGAAGACUA
rnacentral:rRNA from 1 species